CCAACUUGAAAAGUGAAACAAAAGUUCCAAUAAAGAUUUCUCAUUUUUUGAUUAUUAACUUCAAUUCAAAAUUGUUAUGUAGCUUGACCUUUAAGUCCUUCAAUCUCAUGCAAAAUUUCACCAUCAUUUGACUAGUAGAUCUCUAGAUAUUAUAGAAAUCCUAUCCAACUCCUACUACCAACUUCUAAUAUGUUCUUGUACCAAAACCCAAAGAUCUCCUAAUU
rnacentral:lncRNA from 1 species